UAAUUACUCCCUCCGUCCGAAAAUACUUGUCAUCAAAAUGGAUAAAAAAAGAUGUAUCUAAAACUAAAAUACAUCUAGAUACAUCCUCUUUUAUCCAUUUUGAUGACAAGUAUUUCCGGACGGAGGGAGUAUCAU
rnacentral:pre_miRNA from 1 species